CCUACGGGGGGCUGCAGUGGGGAAUAUUGCACAAUGGGGGAAACCCUGAUGCAGCAACGCCGCGUGAGUGAAGAAGUAUUUCGGUAUGUAAAGCUCUAUCAGCAGGGAAGAAGAAAGACGGUACCUGACGAAGAAGCCCCGGCUAACUACGUGCCAGCAGCCGCGGUAAUACGUAGGGGGCAAGCGUUAUCCGGAUUUACGGGGUGUAAAGGGAGCGUAGACGGCUGUGGAAGUCUGAAGUGAAAGCCCGGGGCUCAACCGCGGAACUGCUUUGGAAACUGUCUAGCUUGAGUACUGGAGAGGCAGGCGGAAUUCCUAGUGUAGCGGUGAAAUGCGUAGAUAUUAGGAGGAACACCAGUGGCGAAGGCGGCCUGCUGGACAGAAACUGACGUUGAGGCUCGAAAGCGUGGGGAGCAAACAGGAUUAGAUACCCUUGUAGUC
rnacentral:rRNA from 1 species